CCUCACCCUUCCCGGCGAGCGGGCGUGGCCCUGGCUCCGCCUCGGCGGUGGAAGGGAGGGCGGCCCGGAGGCUUGGGAAGUGCUGACCCGGCCGACCGCCUUCCCAGCAGACUCCGCCUUCCCCGCCCGCGAGGGACCCGGCGCCGGCGGUGGCCAAGGCGGCGGAGACUCGGAGGCGCGGGGCGAGCCGUGACUCAGAGCCGGCCCUGGGCGCAAUCUGGUGGCGAAGACGCCCGACCUGGAGCGCCUGGCGCACCGAGGGGAGCCCCGCGGCGAGCCUGGGCGCUCCCCACCGCACCGCCCCCCUCCAAGACAAGAGCCUUUUCUCCAAGUCUUCGGGCCGCGCACUCCUAGGUUCUCUGCGUGGCCGCAGGCGAGCGGGCGCAGGAAUGCGCGGUGUAGGUGGAGCCCAGGGCAGACCGCGUGAAGAGUCCCCGUGGGGGUCGCUGCUGGGACAAGUGGGCGACUCGCGCGGGUUCUGCGGCCCGGCGGUACUUAGUUACCGGACCAAGGACAGAACCUGCACACUUGGCAGUGAGAGCGCGGAGUCCUAACCACUGGACCGCCAGGAAAUUGGUGGGGAAAUGUUUUUUAAAUACAAGAAGUCAUGCUGUGCUUUAAAAAAUAAAAAUUAAAAAUAUA